UUUCACUUCUCUCUACCUCUAUACUAUUUUUUCUCUCUCUUCUAUGUAACUAAAAUAGAUCUGAAACCUAAACUCUCUGCAUUUCAUCUUUUUCUCCCAACCUAAACUCUAUGCAUUUCAUCUCUUCCUCUCUUAAGCUAACAAGAUUUCUGUCAAAUACGUGAGUUUGCAUCUGAAAUGGUGGAUCUGAAGUGUAAACUGACGAUGGCGUUAUGGUUCUGUGUAUUGAUUCAUGGUGAGUAUACAGUGAUUAUAGGGAAGCGUGAAUGAAGAUGGCAGAGCUUUCCUGGUCGAAAAAGGGACCAGCAUGUGAUUUAUUUUGCGGUGGUGUCGCGGUUGGACUGAGUGGGACACGGUGGUUUCUGACACAGGUUGAUUUUAUCCCUCUUCUGUCUUCUCUACUUUCUUUUGUUUUUCUUCCUUCUUUGAUAUGUUUGUUUUAAUCGAAACAAAACUUGAAUGUUGCCCCUUUCAUCCUUUUGUUUCUUUUGAAUAAUAAUGCAUUUCACAUAUUCAAUGAAAGUCCACAACAAUGUUGUUAUGGAGCUGAUGCGAGGUUCGUGGAAAUGGUAAAGUUCGGGAAAGGGAAAUAGGGGCAGCAGAGAGAGCACUUUCUUCUAUUAGAACAACUAUUUCUGGAGAUCUGAAUGUAAAUGAAGGUAAAUAUUUCUAUCUUAAGGAGACACGUGCAUGAAUAGCGUAGCCGCUGUUAAGUUAUUUGAUAUCAGUUGAUUUCAAAAUUGAGAGUUCUUUCAAUGUGUGUGUCUUCUUUUAUAUUCAUAUGUUUCUAACAAAUAAACGGUACAAGAAGAAUUGAAAAUAGCUUCAAUGAUAUAAGUAUAUCUAGCACUGGAUUUGGCUUUGGAAGUGGCACUGGUUUUGGAUUGACAAAAGAGAUAUGCAGGAACUCAUUGUUGAGAAUGUGGUAACGUGCAUAUAAGUGCAAGUAGUUCUGAGGCUUCGAUAUUCUACAAUUCUACCGGCUACUUUGAUGAGUUUGUUUGGGGAGGCGCAUGGAUGUACUUUGCAAUCGAAAAUAACGCGUACCUUAAGGUUGCUACUAAUCUCGGUAUUGCUAUACAUGCUGGUGCUUUCUGGGGAGGCCCUGAUUAUGGAGUACUGAGCUGGGAUAACAAGCUUGCUCAUGCACAGGUAAUUUUGUUGAGAUUCUUUGUGAAUGCUCAUGCGUUCGUAUAUGUUGUGGCUGUUUUGUGUUCUUGAAACUAGGUUGCAACCUGAUCUUUAUUUGUUUUGGUCUCUCUGCUUAUUUAUGUUUUUCUUACUGCUUGUAUUGUUUAUCCGUUGGCGCUGACAUGACAGAAGUUGUAAUGUCCAAGGGUUAUGUUUUUGGGGGCAGCUUCAAAAGUAAUAACACUUUUUACUAGCACAAAAUCCACUGAAUGCUGAUGCUUUUCUUUGCCUUCUCAAGACACUGAUUUAUUUAUGAUUUAAGAGCAAGGAGAAGCACUUUAACGUCAUCAAAAUUCAAUAUGUCAAACAAACUUUCAAUAACUUACAUUAUAGAAACAUAAUCUAGAGACAAUCCUUCAAGAAUUAAGGUGAUGAUUGAUCGAAAUCGGAUCACUAAUAAAGGUUAAUGUAUCGGUUGUUUUAGGAAUGCUAAGAAUAUAAUCAUCACGAAGAUGGUGUGUUUUAGCAUGAGUUUGCUUCUAAAAUUAAAGGAAAAAGACAAUCCCAGAGUUUAAUUAAGGUAUCUUAAUCAAUAACAUCAUCUUCAACUCAUGCUUCUAAUAAUGAAAACACGACUUUCACCAAUGAAAUUUGAUACUAAUGCAUAGGAUAAUUUUAGUAUAAGUUUGUUCUAAGUCAUUUAAUAAAAGAAAGGUACUUACGACUAAUUUCAAAGCACCAUUAUAGUAUUUGGUACACGUAUUUCUCUACUGUACAUAAAUAAUAAACUAAACAUAUUUUAUUUGUUUGUUGAAUAAUACCUUAGAAGAAGAAGCUUACAAAUAAAAAAUUAAACAGUUGGCAACAAAAUAUGAUAAUAAUAAUAAUGCAACUCUAUAGGGUUAUGGUAUAGUGUGCUUGUAUUUGUAAAUUUCUGCAUCUGUAAGGCGUGAUGGACUUAAGAGUCGGGUGUCUAAUGAUGCAACUCUAUAGAGUUAUGGUAGUGUGCUUGUAUUUGUAAAUUUUUGUACAAUGAGAAUAAACAAAGCCAUAAGUUUAUAUUGGUUUGGAUGUUGUAUCAUUUAUCAAUUUGGAGAUGACAAAUUGGAUAAAGUGAAGAACUGGACACAGGGUUUCAUCCUUAGAGUAGGUGAACCAUUUCAAAAUUUCCUUAUCCUUAUUCCAAUAGCACAACACAUCCUAAGCGAUGCCAUUAUACUGCUUUCUCUACUAUCUUCAUGAAACAGGUGGGGAAAAAGCUUGUGCUUAUUACCAACUCGGACUUUCAUUACACAGAAAAAAUGAUGCGACAUUAUUUUAAUGAGAAAUGCUAGCAACACUCUCUUUUCAACACUCUCUCUAGCACUGGCUUUCUUAUUGGUUGGAACAUAUGUGGGUCCUACCACUUUAUGUGGAAUCCAUUUCCAAAUUGAGGGACCCACACAUGUUUUAACCAAUAAAAAAGUGAGUGUUGAAGAGAGUGUUGAAAAGAGAGUGUUGCUACCACUCCUCUUAUUUUAAUAGAUUCGUUCCAAAUGAUACGGGUUGGAGAGAUCUUUUUGACAUUGUAAGUUAAUUUAACUUAUUUAUUCAAGAAAACUGAACUCUUAUGACAUCAGAGGGAUGAUAAGUGCUCUAUAUCCUCUCCAUUAUUUUGUUCAUUAUCAACCUUGUCCUAUUGUGAGAUAAGCCUUUCAUAAAUGGACGUGGCUCUUUUCAAUGGAUAGGUAAUUGUGUCGGCGAGAAAACCAGAGUUUUUCCAAACGUCAAGCCCCAUGUAUGAAUUGGUGACAGGUGAGGGUCUAAUGCGUUCAUGCUUCAAGGCUAAACCUGGUAAUUUGUACUCUUGAAGCAAAUAUAUGCUAGAAUUUACCAUUUUUUAUUUGUUUAUGUCAUAGUAAUAUAUAUCAAAAAUGCAACAAUCAUUUUAGUACUUGAAGACCCAUGCAGUUAUCAUUUAAAAUGUUUUUUUGGUUAAACAAUUUAAUUUUUCUUUCUUUUUAUUAUUAUUAUUAUUAUUAUUAUUAUUAUUAUUAUUAUUAUUAUUAUUAUUAUUAUUAUUAUUAUUAUUAUUAUUAUUAUUAUUAUUAUUAUUAUUAUAUUUUGAGAAUAAAUGCGCGGACCAUACCAAUACCCAUGUGAAUGCACGGGUAUCCUACUAGUUAUAAAUAAAAGAAGGAAUCAACUUGACUAUCAUAAGUGUAGUUAUAGGGUUUUUUUCUUUUUAACUUUAAAAAACAAUUUGAAAUAUUAGACCAGUUCAAUUGAUUUUCACUCACUCUAAUCUAUUAAAUAUGAACCUUCAAGUUAUGUACUUAAAUCACCGGUAACACUGCGGGCUAUAUGCAUGACCAUAUCAAUAUAUCAUGCAAAAGAAAUUAUUCAACUUCAUCUUUUCAUGUAUUAAAUAUAAUUGUUAGAUUCAUUCAUGUCAUAUGAAAAUGAAUAUUAUAUAUGUUAACAAUAUAAAGUGGUCGUAAACUACCAUCUCUAUUAUAUUUAUGUUAAUCUUAGGUCAUAUAUUUAUCUUCCCUACAAAUGUUUAUUUGAGUAUAUAUUGACCAC